rnacentral:rRNA from 1 species
UGGACAGGGGCACCCUGAUCAGCCAUGCCGCGUGAGUGAAGAAGGCCCUAGGGUCGUAAAGCUCUUUCGCCUGUGAUGAUAAUGACAGUAGCAGGUAAAGAAACCCCGGCUAACUCCGUGCCAGCAGCCGCGGUAAUACGGAGGGGGUUAGCGUUGUUCGGAAUUACUGGGCGUAAAGCGCGCGUAGGCGGAUUGGAAAGUUGGGGGUGAAAUCCCGGGGCUCAACCCCGGAACUGCCUUCAAAACUCCCAGUCUAGAGUUCGAGAGAGGUGAGUGGAAUUCCGAGUGUAGAGGUGAAAUUCGUAGAUAUUCGGAAGAACACCAGUGGCGAAGGCGGCUCACUGGCUCGAUACUGACGCUGAGGUGCGAAAGUGUGGGGAGCAAACAGGAUUAGAUACCCUGGUAGUCCACACCGUAAACGAUGAAUGCCAGUCGUCGGAUAGUAUACUAUUCGGUGACACACCUAACGGAUUAAGCAUUCCGCCUGGGGAGUACGGUCGCAAGAUUAAAACUCAAAAAAAUUUGACGGGGGG